UACGUAGGGUGCAAGCGUUGUCCGGAAUUAUUGGGCGUAAAGAGCUCGUAGGCGGCUUGUCACGUCGACUGUGAAAACCCGGGGCUCAACUCCGGGCCUGCAGUCGAUACGGGCUGGCUUGAGUGCGGUAGGGGAGACUGGAAUUCCUGGUGUAGCGGUGAAAUGCGCAGAUAUCAGGAGGAACACCGGUGGCGAAGGCGACACGCUGGGCCGUACCUGACACUGAUGCGCGACAGCAUGGGGAGCAAACAGG
rnacentral:rRNA from 1 species